rnacentral:rRNA from 1 species
GACGAACGCUGGCGGCGUGCUUAACACAUGCAAGUCGAACGGAAGGGCCCUGCUUUUGUGGGGUGCUCGAGUGGCGAACGGGUGAGUAACACGUGAGUAACCUGCCCUUGACUUUGGGAUAACUUCAGGAAACUGGGGCUAAUACCGGAUAGGAGCUCCUGCUGCAUGGUGGGGGUUGGAAAGUUUCGGCGGUUGGGGAUGGACUCGCGGCUUAUCAGCUUGUUGGUGGGGUAGUGGCUUACGAAGGCUUUGACGGGUAGCCGGCCUGCGAGGGUGUCCGGCCACAUUGGGACUGAGAUACGGCCCAGCCUCCUACGGGAGGCAGCAGUGGGGAAUAUUGCACAAUGGGCGGAAGCCUGAUGCAGCACCGCCGCGUGCGGGAUGACGGCCUUCGGGUUGUAAACCGCUUUCGCCUGUGACGAAGCGUGAGUGACGGUAAUGGGUAAAGAAGCACCGGCUAACUACGUG